GCAGCCCCAGGCGGGCGGAGUAGGGUACGCAGGAGUCAGGCGCGCGGGCUUGCUGAGGCGAGCUGAAGCCAGCGCAGGAAAACAAUUGAGCUACUGAGUUUCGGUGGGAGUAAUCAGGAGAUUUUGAGAAGUACCUGGCGAAGAUCACAUACCUGCACCAUCUCUCGGCCUGCCUUGGAGUUCUGUGUGUAACAGUGUGACUGAACGUUUGCCGGUGGCAAAUGAGCAAAGGAGAUGUAUGGCACUCCUAGGCCUGGACCAUGCAAACCUCCAGAUCACAACCCACUGUGAUUUCCCAUCACUGGGGAGCCCUGACAAGUCACAUACUGAAAAUGGCAAAGCCAUGAGAAAGAAGGAACUGCAUUAUCACUUACAGGAAAUGUUAUAGGAAAGCUCUCUAUUUAUCAGGAAUCCCUGUUUUGACUUCAUGUGAGCAAGAAAAUAAAAGCGGGCGCCUAGGUGGCUCAGUC